rnacentral:tRNA from 1 species
UAAAAUAUAGCUUAAGUAAAGUGUUUUACUUACACUGAAAUGAUCGUUUUUAAUUAAAAUGUAUUUUAU